rnacentral:snRNA from 1 species
GUGCUCUCUUCAGCAGCACAUAUACUUAAAUUGAAACGACACAAGAGAUUAGCAUGGCCCCUAUGCAAGGAUGACAUGCAAAUCUACGAAGCAUUCCAUAUUAAA